CCUACGGGGGGCAGCAGUGGGGAAUAUUGCACAAUGGGCGCAAGCCUGAUGCAGCCAUGCCGCGUGUGUGAAGAAGGCCUUCGUGUUGUAAAGCACUUUCAGCGGGGAGGAAGGCGGUGAGGUUAAUAACCUCAUCGAUUGACGUUACCCGCAGAAGAAGCACCGGCUAACUCCGUGCCAGCAGCCGCGGUAAUACGGAGGGUGCAAGCGUUAAUCGGAAUUACUGGGCGUAAAGCGCACGCAGGCGGUCUGUCAAGUCGGAUGUGAAAUCCCCGGGCUCAACCUGGGAACUGCAUUCGAAACUGGCAGGCUAGAGUCUUGUAGAGGGGGGUAGAAUUCCAGGUGUAGCGGUGAAAUGCGUAGAGAUCUGGAGGAAUACCGGUGGCGAAGGCGGCCCCCUGGACAAAGACUGACGCUCAGGUGCGAAAGCGUGGGGAGCAAACAGGAUUAGAUACCCUUGUAGUC
rnacentral:rRNA from 1 species